rnacentral:rRNA from 1 species
GAUGAACGCUGGCGGCGUGCCUAAUACAUGCAAGUCGAGCGAACAGACGAGGAGCUUGCUCCUUUGACGUUGGCGGCGGACGGGUGAGUAACACGUAGGUAACCUACCUAUAAGACUGGGAUAACUUCGGGAAACCGGAGCUAAUACCGGAUAAUAUUUCGAACCGCAUGGUUCGAUAGUGAAAGAUGGCUUUGCUAUCACUUAUAGAUGGACCUGCGCCGUAUUAGCUAGUUGGUAAGGUAACGGCUUACCAAGGCAACGAUACGUAGCCGACCUGAGAGGGUGAUCGGCCACACUGGAACUGAGACACGGUCCAGACUCCUACGGGAGGCAGCAGUAGGGAAUCUUCCGCAAUGGGCGAAAGCCUGACGGAGCAACGCCGCGUGAGUGAUGAAGGUCUUCGGAUCGUAAAACUCUGUUAUUAGGGAAGAACAAACGUGUAAGUAACUGUGCACGUCUUGACGGUACCUAAUCAGAAAGCCACGGCUAACUACGUG